GCAUUGGUGGUUCAGCGGUAGAAUUCCCGGGACCCGGGAACCCGGGUUCGAUUCCCGGCCAAUGCA